GAUGACACAACACAGGGCAUCUUGGGAUCUUGGAUAGAGACAGAAAGGAACUGGUAAGCAGGCCACCUUUUCCCAGCAGAAAUACACAUGGUGAUGAUGAGACUCUGGGAAGUUGAGACCCACUGGGUGGCAGUGCCCACGUCCUGCCUAGGAGAAGUCACAGGGACCGAGGACAGCUUUGGGGACGGCCACACGAAGCCACAUCUGUGUCACAUCCAUGGGCCUCAAGACAGGCCAUCAGCUCUCUCUCCACUAGGAAGAACUGAGUGCAAGCUAUCCCCACUGUGUGAUUUCAGACACGGAUGCAUCUUUUCAAGGAACUUAGUUUCAGUUGGGAAGCGCCAAGGAUGUCAAAGCCGGGGGAGCCUCUGGGUUUACAUGCACCGGCGGGUGAGGUGGCAGCCAGAGUCAGAACGUAGGACAGCCAGUUUCUACUGGAACUAGCAGGCCACCAGGGUCACCUCCGUGGCAGGUGGAAUGGAUCCGGGAGGCCAGGCAGGACAUGGACAUUCUGCACGUCCUUGCCGGCAAAAACACGAACUUGGAAACUGAGCCAAACCACAAAUCCUCCAGGGAUUCAGCCCACACCCCUGCAACCUGCUACAGGAAGAUACUUUGCUUUAGUGAAAACCUUAGUAAGCAGUCAGGUUCAGCCAAGGUUCGUUUUCUGCCACCACCACCAGUUCCUUAUAAAACAGCACACACAAGCAUUCUCUGUCAUCUCUAAAAACCCCUGACUUUUGUUCCCUGGGGAGGAGAACCGCGUUUGCAGCCAAUAUCUCUGUCCCAGCAUGGCAAUUCUGAGACCCCAAAUAAACACUAGGGUCAUUC